rnacentral:rRNA from 1 species
AGAAUCAACGCUGGCGGCGUGCCUAACACAUGCAAGUCGAACGAGAAAGUGGAGCAAUCCAUGAGUAAAGUGGCGCACGGGCGAGUAACACGUGACUAACCUACCCUUGAGUGGGGGAUAACCUAGAGAAAUCUGGGCUAAUACCGCAUAAUACCUUCGGGUCAAAGGAGCAAUUCGCUUAAGGAGGGGGUCGCGGCCGAUUAGUUAGUUGGCGGGGUAAUGGCCCACCAAGACUAUGAUCGGUAUCCGGCCUGAGAGGGCGCACGGACACACUGGAACUGAAACACGGUCCAGACUCCUACGGGAGGCAGCAGUGGGAAUUUUGCGCAAUGGGGGAAACCCUGACGCAGCAACGCCGCGUGGAGGAUGAAGUCCCUUGGGACGUAAACUCCUUUCGAUCGGGACGAUAAUGACGGUACCGAGAGAAGAAGCCCCGGCUAACUUCGCGCCAGCAGCCGC